AUAGCUGCCUACUGAGGUUUGAUUGGAUAUGGACAUUGUUUAUUUCAGAAGGAAAAUGUUUGGAGUGGAAUUGUUUGGAAGACAAUCUUGGGACAAUUUUGCUCUUUGGGUCUUUGUGCCAACCAUGCCAGCUAUCGUAGGGUGCUCUGGGAACUUCUUAGAUCUGUUUACUGUAUGUACACUUACUGAAAUAAGCAUUUUGUUUACAUAAAAUCCCUUGUCAUUUCACCACUAGGUUUGAAACCCAGACAGCACGAAGCAUCUUGCCGACGUCAAAAUCAGAUCAACAGACAGGGACAUCAGCCUUCUCUUGGGAAUAGGCCAGAUAUGCCAUAACAAGAAAUGGUGUUUUGCCCCUGCGGUUGUGAAGAGGAUGCUGUGGAGGUGGCAGCAUGAACGUGUCACACAGACAUUGGCUAAACUACUCGGCUUCUACACUUGCCCUCAGAGUUCACAUAUGGUGAAGUGCACAGGUGUCCAGUCAGGUUCAGACUGAUGCUGGUAACAAGAGGAAAACAUGCUAAUUGAUGACCUUUCCAGCAUGUCCAACUCAUCAGCAUCAGGGGAGGAGAGUCGGUGAAGGUGGUGCACCAUCCAGGACCAGUCAUGGGCCACCAACACCUCUGCAAAAUCUGCACUUCUUGUGAACCCUCUAGAAGACACUACAACCACAAAACUGCUAAUAAACCAUCACAUACUACAUCA